rnacentral:tRNA from 1 species
GGUGGCUCAGUGGUAGAGCAUUUGCCUUGCAUGCAUGAGGCCCUGGGUUCGGUUCCUCAGCACCA